AUAUCACAAAAAUAGGAUGGA
rnacentral:siRNA from 1 species